rnacentral:tRNA from 1 species
AAGAUACUAGUAUAGCUGAUAGUACACUGCCUUGUCGAGGCGGAACCGCAGGUUAAACCCCUGCGUAUCUUG